UUUUUUUUUUUUUUUUUUUUUUGACGGAGUCUUGCUUUGUCGCCCAGGUUGGAGUGCAGUGGCACGAUCUCGGCUCACUGCAACCUCCGCCUCCUGAGUUCAAGUGAUUCUCCUGCCUCAGCCUCCCUAGUAGCUGGGAUUACAGGACAAGCAGAGGGACAAAUUCCUUCUUGGCAUCCUUAUGGCCCCAUGACCUGCUAAUGAAUGCUGACUCUGAGUGGCUACUAGAAUUUGGUUUCCUUAUGGCUUCCCAGGAAUUGUGAGCCAUGUUGGAUAAGGUCCUGCAAGGGAAGAAUGAGGAAGCCUGGGACAGUGCGGGAGGGGAGAGCACUGGUGGUAGGGAGGAGUGAUGACAAGGGUCUCCGCUAAAAGGGAAAUGGAGGGGUUAAAGAAGCAGCUGGGGAAGGUUAAAAACAAUGAGGUGUUCUCACUCAUAGGUGGGAAUUGAACAAUGAGAACGCUUGGACAC
rnacentral:sRNA from 1 species